UUCUAGUUCAGUUCUAGUUCAGUUCUAGUUCAGUUCUAGUUCAGUUCUAGUUCCAGUUCUAGUUCAGUUCUAGUUCCAGUUCAGUUCUUGUUAGUUUGGACCUUUAGAAUUGGACCUGUCUCUAUAGGGUUAAUUUGAUUAGUAUUGUCAGCCACAAAUUAAUUGAAAACUGAUUAAGUACACAGCUGAUUUUUUAACUAAAAAAUAUUUGGUGUUUUUUUAACAAAUUUUUUUCACACAAUAAAUUAAAUAAAUUCUUUUUUUUGUUAAUAUCAAAUUAAAAUACUUAUAUUAUUUAACAAUUCUUAACCAAAUUGAGGACAUUUCUCAAACAGCUGAAUUAAUUUACUACUAUUCGAAAACAACCCUGACUGUUAACAGCUGUGUGUCAAACAUAUACCGUUAUAUAUCAAUUUCCUUCAACUCUCAAUUUUCUACUGUUGCUAUUUCUAUAUGUAUUGUGUAAGUGUGUUUGUAUGUGAGUGUUGGUGGUAUUGAAGUCAAAAAAAGAAAGCGAGAGAAUGAAAAAUUAUUCAAGAAAAUUUUAACUUAAAGAAAAACUUAUUCUAAAAACUUACGAGAAAAAAAUUUAGGGAAAAAAGUAAAUUUUAGCGAAAUAAAAUUAGUAAUAAAUAAAAUCUUUUAAAAUGUAUCAAAACUAAGUGAAAUAUUAAAGAAAAGGUGAAAAAAUGUAUUAUAAAAGCGAAAUUGUGUGAUUUUUCAAAGGUCCCUUUAAUUUUAUGGAUUAUUUCGUCUGAGGAAUUUUCUAUAACUCGCCCACUCUAUUUAUUAUUAAUGUUGAAGAAGACAUGGCAGCUGUUGAACAUACCUUUCACGGUACUUGGGAGAUUGUUUCCUGUACCUUUGAGGGGAAAAAAGAAAUAUCCGGUUUAGAGGGCAUUAAAUUUCGUCUGGACGAUACAAGUGAUAUAACAUGGUAUAAUGAUUUGGUCAGCCCGUUGCCAGAAACAAAAGACUGCGAUACAUGUUGUGAUUCGGCUAGUGUUCUAUUCAGUUGUGAAACUUUUGAAGUUAAUGAAAGCAAUCCACGUUUAAUCUUUGGAGCAUUUGCUGGACACAGUAUAGAAUUUAAUACAUCUACCUUAACACCUUCUGAUUCCCUAAUACUCUACUGUGAGAACUGGUAUGCGGUGGAAUGCAAACGUUUGAAAGAGGGCCAGGCUGCUGGACAGGAAAAAGAAUUCUCUUUUGCCGAAGCCUUAAAUGAAUCAUACUUUAGUGAUGUUAUUAUCAAAAGCUCUGAUGGUUUUGAGUAUCACGUUCAUGCGUCUAUAUUACGCCUAAACGGUUUUGAUUGCAGCAUGUGUGUACAUGCUACCAGCGCCAUUUCAUUGCCUCAGACUGUAUGUAGAAAUUAUGAUUCCCUUACCAUAAAAAGUAAAGAUAAUGCCAGUGUACCCAAUUCCCCGAAUCCCAUUAAAAUUUCGGUGACAAUGACCAGCACCACAAAGCAAACGGAACAGGAACAGCAAAAAUCUUUACCCCGCCUCAAUUUAUCACCCAUUUACUUGCAACCGCCUACAGAAACAUGUCAUGCCAACAAUAGCACUUCACUAAGAACUCAACAUCACUCCCAGCUGUCGUCCUCCUUUAAUUGUUUGUCGACCAAGACCCAAGCGAAUGGUAGUACCUUACAUCUACUCAAUCAAGAGAGUGGUUCGGGCAUGCGUCGUUUUCCACCCAAUUCCCAUUCGGAUUCUCAUUUGGAAACCCAUAAUUUAAAGCCUCAAUCAAAAAAUAUUUUUAAUUUUUGUCAAGAUCUCAUGCUGCAACAUUCAACGGAUGUCUGCAGUUCAACCGGUUGUAAUACACGUCGACCACCUUUAUCACCCUAUCGUGCCAGAAGUCCUUCACCAUUUCCCAGUUCUAUGGAUACACCACCUUCGUCACCUUUGACUCCGGUGGGUGUUUUAUAUGAUCUUCCUGCAUUUCUACUAACGCCCAUAUUACAUUGGCUUUAUACGGAAUCAUUGAUGCCCGAUAUGAACGAGGAUGUUUGCGAGAAACUUAUCAAUUUUGCCGAGUCCCAACCUUCGCUAAUGAAGUUGGCUGAACCCGCUAAGAGAUAUUUGAAAAUGAUUAAAUUGAAGAAGUUUGUUGUCAAUAUAAUAAUGGAUUUACAUAGUAUUUUAAAUCGUGUCAUACAAACCAUUAAUCCAGUUACUAUAUCACAUGAACCCGCCUUACUAUAUGCCACAUUUAAGGAUAGUUUAAGAGAAUGUUCUAUAGGAUGUGCCAAAAUUUUACAAUUUUGCAAUAUAUUUAUUAAGGAUGCCGCCGAUAUAGCACGUUAUCAAAAGAAUGAAAUAAUUAAAUAUGUACGCACACGUAUACCCAUAUUUAUGUCACAAUUGCAUCAGCUCUUACGCAAUAUAUUAAAUGUAUUUUUAAGUCUAACACCUGAUGAAAAAGAUGAAUUAGCUAAUUACUUAGUACCUGAGAUUGAAACCACUUUAUUGAUUUUAACUAGUGUGAUAGAAGAAAUCAAAAAUUCUUUAGAAAAAAUGUGUAAAGAUUUAAAAUGCUCACAUUUAGAUUUAUCCUUAAAAUAUGCUACCGAUGAUGCGGUAGCCAUGCAAAUACAAAAUAACACUUUCAUUACCGCCAACAAUGCCAUGGAUGAUAAUACCGUUAGCACUUUAUUUAGUCAGCCACCAUUAUCGCCACGUCCUCGCCGAGGUCCACCCAUAGGUUUGACGCUCUAUGAUAAUCCCUCGGAUAAGCAGCGUCUAAUGAGUGCCGAAAAUGAUUUGAAAUUUGUUUUAUACAUGUAUGAGGUGAGAAAAAUGAGAGAUAUUUAUGGACGCAUAUCAGCUGCUUUGGAUAUAAUAAGGGAUAAAAAAACUACUUAUUGUGAAAUGGAUUUCUUGAGUAAACGCAGCACUAUAAAUCAAAAUUUAGAACAAUUGAUUGUAGAUAUACCCAGUUAUAUAUUGAUUAUGGAAAAUCUAUCGGAUCGUUUGGAGGAGAAAUUGGGUUGGAAGGAAUUUAAGUUUUGUUUUAAGUUGGCGACUUCUCAAAUUAACGGUGUUAUAGUAAAGAUAUUUGAUCAUAAGUCUGCUUUAAAAGAAGCCAUGAGUCAGAUUUGCAAACUGGUGCAAAAACAGGAAUUUACACAAACUCUAAUCGAAUUGGGUCUAUUGGAACCUUCAAACAUUUUAGAAAGUGAAUUGAAAUCAUUGCAAAAAGAUGAUCCCUUUGAAUUAAGUUUAGAUCCUUUGCUUUUGGAAAGGCAACAUAACUAUGAUUAUAAAAGUGUUAAGCUUAACCUAAUACGUCACUUAUGUGAACCACCCAUAGCGGUGAAUAGUAAUCUCUCGAAAAAUGCUUUGCGACUUUUGCACUCAGCCCAAUUGGCCGAUAUGGAAUUUGAGGUGCACACUUUCCACAAUCCUCCAACAAUGACAGUUGAGUCUAAUGUCACAAAUAGAAACACUUUAGAUAUACAAAGUAUGGAAGCUCUGAAAGCACCCAUACAAGUUCAUACAUUUCGUGCACAUCGUGUAAUUGUAUCGGCCAGAUGUGAAUGGUUUAAGAAGGCUUUAAUGUCUGGUAUGCAGGAAUGUUUAACAAGAAAAAUCAUUAUAACUGAUACUUCACCGGUGAUCUUUAGACGUUUGCUGUUAUUUUUGUAUGGUGCUCCGAUUGAUAAAACUGUUGGUGCUGAACAAAUAUGUGAAUUGAUGUUAUUAGCUGAUAAAUAUUCUAUAGAUGAUUUAAAGGAAUUAUGUGAAAAUACUUUAAAUUCACAAAUCGAUGAACAUUCAGUUUUAUGUCUUUUGGGUAUAGCCGAUCAUUAUAUGGCAUCGGCUUUAAAAUCUAAGUGUCUUUCAUUUUUAUCACAAAAUUCACAUCUUACAAAGGCUGCUAUGUUUAAGGAAUUAUCACGACCCUUACAACUUGAGGUAAUGGAUUUGAUACAUUGGUAUGGACGUGUCACUGAACCCUGGAACGAUACGGGCGGUUUUAAACCACGCAGCACUUCCAGACACAGUUUAAAAAGUCCCUCAAAACCCCGCUCACGUUCUAGAAAAUCAUCACCAUCUUUUAUGUGACACUGACUCUUAAGAAGCAAUGGCUAUUAAAUGAUAUUUAAAAUAAUAAUAAAAAUCUAAAAGGAAAACAUUUUAAGCAAUUGUUCCGAUAUUCUUUUUCAAUUAAGUUUACUAUUGAUGUUAGCAUAAGUAUAAAAAUUGAAAAAAAAAACUAAAAACCAAAAAACACUUUUUCUAAAACAUAUACACAAACAA